UAAGUGAGAGCCCAGGUCGUAGUCCUGGCUUCAUAGGAGUCCUUUAGUUUGCAAAGCACUUUCCUGUGCUCUCUUAGGGCCCAUGCAGACGACCAGCGGAGACUUCGGCUGGGGAGUCCACGUGUAGGUGUCAGCGCGAGGGCCAGAGGAGCCUGGUAGACAAUGGGCACCUUCGGAAGGCUAGCCCAGUGGCGGUAUAGACGAGAAGACCAGCGCUCGGCAGCGUGCACUCCGUGGCGUCCCGGUAGCUCGCCGUGAUCGUAUAGUGGUGGUUUCAUGCUGGGCAAUGAGCUGCUCCCCAGAAUCUGGGGAGAAAGUCUGGAGCAGUGACUCUCUUGGAGUAUUCGAGUAAAAGCAAUCAACCAAGAAAAUAAAAACCACAAACAUACACCAUCUGAGGUAACCCACUCAGCCAUUUACAUCCAACCAAGGCAGCUGAAGCGUAUUCUGAGGGCAGGAAUGCCCUAAAGAAAGUCAACAGAAGGUUCCUGGUUGCAGGAAGAGUAACUGAAGGGGAAGGUGCUCUCCUGCACCUCCAACUGCUGACCUUUUCGGCAGGUAUACCAUUAUCCUGGAGAUGGGUGCAUCCAGCUCGUGAAAUUUCAUAAUAUCCUCUUCCAAGGUCACUCACUCAAUUCCCCUUACUCUGAUUUCAGGCCCACAAAACAGACUUUUGCUAAUGAUUUGACUGCCCGUGUAGACGUUCCUGCAGGGAAGAGCAUUGCUCUGAACAAGCUUCUGAGUAGUUGGCAUUUGUUCUUCUUACUCUUGGUAUUUCGGUUUAGACUCUUAAGAGUCUGGUUGGUAUGAUUCAUUGCCCUUGAAUCUGCUUAUCUCUGGGCGCACUGGCAAAACGGAGUUUCUGGGCUGGCAAAGCUGUGAGCUAGAGACUCUGCCCUGGGAUGACCUCACCAGGAUUGCUGCUCUGUGACACCCUCUCUGAGCAGUCAGCACCCUCCUCCUUUGACCUCUUGUUUUAAACCCACGUUUUGUAGUUUUUGAUUCUGGGGAUAUGAUCCUUUUCCCCCACCCCUUCCAGCGUGAGGUCCGAGCUCUUCUCUAGGUCUCAGCACCAGCAAAGAGGCAGGCAGAACUUCAACGGGCAAACCUUGAAGGGAACAACUGUAAUUUAUAAGCUUCGGAGUGUUUGCUUCAACUAACAACCCCAUGGCUACCUGGUCACACCGGAGCAUCUGGGAGCUGUUGCUGCUGCAGCUGCCGGUCACCACAAGGGUGCAGUACAGACUGGACCAGCAUCCCGGUAUCACCUGGAAGCUGGUUCAAAUUCAGAAUCUUGGUCCACAACACAGAACUACUGGAUGAGAAUCUUCACUUGAACAAGAUCCUCCCCAGAUGAUUCAUCUGCACCUUCAAGUUUGAGAAGUGCUGCUGUCAUCUAGAGGAACUACCUGGCUCUAAGGGAGGUCUUCACUGUUCACCUUGUGAGUACUUGGGGUUCCUAAAAGGGACCUGCCCAUGUCUACUGGGCCUCAUCGAUGGGGGUGACUUUGAGGUUGUGAGGAAGGAAAGAGGGAGAUCUGGGAGGGAGUCACUGAGGGGCCCAUGUUUGGGGGCAUCUAAGGAGGAGGCAGCUUCCUGGACUUCCACUAGGAGGCGCUGCACCCCAGGAAGUGGAAGUAGAACGCUGAGGCUGGAUAAGACUCAGUCUAGAGGACUCCACUUUGGACUUCACCCCUCCAACAUGGAUUCUCUGGAUGUUCCUGACUCAAGUUCCAUUCAUUCAUUCAUUCACUCAUUCACUCACCAUUCAAAAUAGCAUCUUUUAGCUCUUAAAGUACAGUACAUCAUAGGGAGCUGCAAAGCUGUAUACAGAUACUUCUUGCCCAUGUGGUUUACUUUCCAGCUGGAAGAAAAUACUAGCCCACAGGCAACAAUAAGAAAACAACAGAAGACAUGCUGUAGAUGGAAGAGGCAUUUCU
rnacentral:lncRNA from 1 species